UAUAAAUAUAACAUUAUAAUAUAACUUGUUGUUUUGACAUGGAAUUACCCUAUAAGGUUUCACAAUAUACUUCCCGGCCACCAAUAGAAAAACAAUAGCUUCGGUCGUUUAACCCACAAUGCAAUUUUAUCAAUUUACCCGUACAAAAUAGGUGUAGUUUAUGCUUUUAAAUAUAAAUUUAUUCCAGCGCAAACAAACAGUAAUUAACGUGAUAAAACGAAAAAAAAUUAAAAACUUUUCAAAAAUAAAAAAAGCUGAAAGAUGAUGUCAGUCUCCGUUGCGAACAAUUUUCAGAAGAAUCAAUCUUUAAAAGAUCGUGAUUAUACAUCAAAAAGUGAUAAAGAUUUAGAUUAUGGAAUUCAGCUGGUUAAAGACAACGAUUUAAAAAAAUUUGAAGAACUUAUAAAAAAGAAACCUAAAUUACUCUCAGAAGUUGAUGAAUAUGGUCUUAGCAUUUUAAGUACAAUUAUUUCAACUGGAAACUUGAGUGCAAAAGAAA